ensembl:lncRNA LINC01010 long intergenic non-protein coding RNA 1010
AGACAACAUCUGGUUGGCAGCAUGUUAAGAGACAAAACCUAAAGUGUGUGGACCCCAACCACUCCUACAACCAUAUGCUGCAGCUAUUCAAGCCUUUGUCCUAUGUCUGGAGACUUCUUGGAAGCUGGAGCACACAAAUAGCUACAGCAAACUUGAGGAAUGGGCAUGAAUAGACUGGCUUCGGGGAACCUGCCAGCUUGGCCGUGUGGCCAAGGUAAUAGGCAAGCCAAGGCAGAGCUAGAGCUCAGAGCUGGAGGGGAAAUUAAAGCAGCAAAUGUAGAAACAUUAAGCCUGAAGAGGCGACGACGUUGAAUUCUAAAAUGCAGGCCAAAGCUCAGACUGCAAGCUGUCUGGCUGCUCCGGGUGUGCCCAGAAGUCAAAGUCCAGCAGGGGCAAAGGUGGAGGUGUGGUCCUGCACGUGGGGUGUUGGGGGGAUGUGGAAGAGGAGGUGCUUUAAGAUCCAGAGAUUCCAGCUGCCCUGGUGCACCCUUGGAAGAAUAAAAGGCUAGGAACUGGACAAGUCAGGCUCGAGUCCAAGCUGCCUGAGGAAUCGGGGAAAGAAUGGAGCUCAGAGUGGGAGGUCAGGGCAGUAUUUAAAAAUCCAGGAUAGCAGCAAAGCUGGCGGUGGCCCCUGACUCUGGUAAGGGCAGCCUGCAGCACCAUGCCAAGGGGGGCCUGACUGAUCAUGCCCUGCAUUUGCAAACAAGGAUUAGUAGGGUAUGAGUAGGAUUCUGCUGGUGCCUGGGAAGGCAGUGCCAUCUACAACUUUACAAAGUUUUAACAAAGGCCUGAAGGACACAACCUUCCCCAAAGUCCUGACGUCGCUGUUUGCUGGCAACAAAUAGAGUCAAAAGAAGAGAGGCACAGAAUGUGCCAGGGGUGUGCUGCGUACAGCCCCGAUGACCACAAGGCCUUCUUGGGUCAAGUUCUGCCAUCUCUGGUUAAGAUGGGCUCACCCUCUAGGACCCUGAUUGAGUCCUCGGACCACCAAGAGUGCCCCACCAAGAGCCUCCCUCUUCUGGUGACUCGUGCCUGCUUCCCGUGGAGAGCUCCAGAAGGGAGGAAACUGUGAGGAGGUGGAGAACGUGGCAGGGAUCCUAACUUUCUUACUGAAGGAAGUUCUUCACAAGUACCCAUCUGCCUUCAGGGAAGAAAACAUAACUCAUUUUGGUCUUUCAAAUUCAGUUCUCAAAACCAAAUCCUGUUGUCAGCAAUCUGUGUCCCAACGCCUUCUUCAGCAACAGCAUUUUCCCUGUGGAAUUAGUUUCCAAUGUUCUUUCUUAAAUAAACCACUGAAGAUUAAAAGGAAUCCAGAUACCCAC